rnacentral:rRNA from 1 species
CACCUGAUUCCAUCCCGAACUCAGAAGUGAAAAGCUGUAACGUCGAUGGUAGUGUGGGGAUUCCCCAUGUGAGAGUAGAGCAUCGUCGGGG